CUCCCAGGUCCCUGCCCUGGAAAAAGAAACAAUCACUGGAGCAAAGGAAAAGGAACCUAUUAUUGAAGCAGAAUUGCUGACUAACUGACCUGGCAUAUACUCAGGACACAUGGAACAUUUUGCGCAUGGUGCCCAGGGAGAGCUCAGCAACCAGAAUGAGAAAAAACAGUGCAUGCUGCUAGGGCCUUCCAGACACAGCCCACCCCACCGCUCCCCUGCAUCUAUGGCAGCCUUACCUGCAAAGUGAAGAACUCUUACACUUGAACAGAAGGUAUGACUGCCCUGCGAUCAGCUAAUUAUGUCUGUGUCUUUCGGAUUAAAAAGAAAGUUUUUAACCA